UACAGAGGGGGCAAGCGUUGUUCGGAAUUACUGGGCGUAAAGGGCGCGUAGGCGCCUUCUAAGUCGAACGUGAAAUCCCCGGGCUCAACCCGGGAACUGCGUCCGAUACUGGAAGGCUUGAAUCCGGGAGAGGGAUGUGGAAUUCCAGGUGUAGCGGUGAAAUGCGUAGAUAUCUGGAGGAACACCGGUGGCGAAGGCGACAUCCUGGACCGGUAUUGACGCUGAGGCGCGAAAGCCAGGGGAGCAGAGGG
rnacentral:rRNA from 1 species